AUUGAACGCUGGCGGCAGGCCUAACACAUGCAAGUCGAGCGAGCGGCGGACGGGUGAGUAAUGUAUGGGGACUGCCCGAUAGAGGGGGAUAACUACUGGAAACCGUGGCUAAUACCGCAUACUAUCGGUUAACCCAUAUGGGAUUAGCUAGUAGGUGGGGGAAAGGCUCACCUAGGCGACGAUCUCUCGCUGGUCUGCGAGGAUGAACAGCAAAACUGGAACGGGGACACGGCCCAAACUCCUCCGGGGGCGGCAGUGGGGAAUGUUGGACAAUGGGGGAAAGCCUGAUGCCGCACUGCCGGGUGGAGAGAGCAGGCCUUGGGGUUGUAAAGUACUUUAAGCGGGGAGGCGUUACCCGCAGAAGAAGCACCGGCUAACUCCGUGCCAGCAGCCGCGGUAAUUC
rnacentral:rRNA from 1 species